CGCGUAGGCGGCUCGGUAAGGUUGCGGUGAAAGCCCGGGGCUCAACCCCGGGUCGGCCGUGGCAACUGCUGGGCUGGAGCACUGUAGAGGCAGGUGGAAUUCCGGGUGUAGCGGUGGAAUGCGUAGAGAUCCGGAAGAACACCGGUGGCGAAGGCGGCCUGCUGGGCAGUAGCUGACGCUGAUGCGCGACAGCGUGGGGAGCGAACA
rnacentral:rRNA from 1 species